rnacentral:rRNA from 1 species
CGAAUGGGGAGAUUCAUCGUCAGCUCAUUUUAUAUAUAUGCAUGUUAUGAUAUGGGUUACUACUUUAUUGUAGUAUUGCUUGUACAUUCUUGUAUAUUUAUUUGUAAAAUGUUGUCGGCGUGCACUUCUCCCCUAGUAGGACGUCGCGACCCGUUGAGUGUCUGUCUACGGCCCAAGGUGGAAGCUUUUAAUAAAUUAUUUUAAUUUAUUUGAAACCCUUGGAGUUACCUGACUGGCACUCGUCGGUAAUCGUAUGGUAUUGAGCCGCAUAUUUAUAUGCGUUCUUAUCCAUCGCAAGCGAGGUUAUAUACUGAUAGUGCGGACUUGGUGCCGUCGUUGGUACUAACCAGCUGUUGGUUGUAUGGAAUUCUAGAACUGGCUCUUAUAAUUUAUUAUAAUACCGGUCAGCGAUGCUACUGCUUUGGGUACUUUCAGGACCCGUCUUGAAACACGGACCAAGGAGUCUAACAUGUACGCAAGUCAUUGGGAUAAUUAUUAAAUUAAACCUAAAGGCGUAAUGAAAGUAAAGGUCGUCCUUGUGUCGACUAAAGGAGGAUGAGCUAUAAUAUGUAUAUAGCUUCGCACUCCUGGGGCGUCUCAUUCUCAUUGCGAGAAGAGGCGCACCUAGAGCGUACACGUUGG